AACCCAUGAUUAGGGCACCUUUUCAAAAGAUCUUUAUAUCUCUCUCAUGCAUCAUAUAAUGUCUUCAACUCAAUUUGAGAAAAAGAAGAGAUGUCAUUCUUCAACUU
rfam:Gossypium raimondii Chr10_contig_1190, whole genome shotgun sequence.